rnacentral:rRNA from 1 species
GCUCCCCUCGGGGAGCAAGUAGAGUGGCGCACGGGUGAGUAACACGUAGGUAAUCUACCUUUGGAUGGGGAAUAACAACCGGAAACGGUUGCUAAUACCGCAUAAUGCAGCGGCACCUAAUGGUGACAGUUGUUAAAGCGGGGGAUCGCAAGACCUCGCGUCUAAAGAGGAGCCUGCGGCAGAUUAGCUAGUUGGUAAGGUAACGGCUUACCAAGGCGAUGAUCUGUAGCCGGCCUGAGAGGGCGGUCGGCCACACUGACACUGACAUACGGGUCAGACUCCUACGGGAGGCAGCAGUCGGGAAUUUUGGGCAAUGGGCGAAAGCCUGACCCAGCAACGCCGCGUGAAGGAUGAAAUCCCUCGGGAUGUAAACUUCGCAAGAACGGGAAGAAUAAGUAAGGGUUAAUAUCCCUUGCGAUGACGGUACUGUUUGUAAGCUCCGGCUAACUCCGUGCCAGCAGCCGCGGUAAUACGGGGGGAGCAAGCGUUGUUCGGAUUUACUGGGCGUAAAGGGCGCGUAGGCGGCCUCUGCAAGUCGACUGUGAAAUCUCCGGGCUUAACCCGGAAAGGUCAGCCGAUACUGCAGGGCUAGAGUGCAGAGGGGGCAACUGGAAUUCUCGGUGUAGCGGUGAAAUGCGUAGAUAUCGAGAGGAACACCUGCGGCGAAGGCGGGUUGCUGGGCUGACACUGACGCUGAGGCGCGAAAGCUAGGGGAGCGAACGGGAUUAGAUACCCCGGUAGUCCUAGCCUUAAACGAUGAAUGCUUGGUGUCUGGGGUUUUAUAGUCCCCGGGUGCCGUCGCU